rnacentral:rRNA from 1 species
UACAGAGGGUGCGAGCGUUAAUCGGAAUUACUGGGCGUAAAGCGCACGUAGGUGGCGACGUAAGUCGGGUGUGAAAGCCCCGGGCUCAACCUGGGAAUUGCAUUCGAGACUGCAUUGCUGGAGUACGGAAGAGGAAGGCGGAAUUCCGAGUGUAGAGGUGAAAUUCGUAGAUAUUCGGAAGAACACCAGUGGCGAAGGCGGCUCACUGGACUGGUAUUGACGCUGAGGUGCGAAAGCGUGGGGAGCAAACAGG